UUUUUUUUUUUUUUUUUUCGUGCCAUUUAGGACCAGCUAUUGAGCAAAAAUCCAUAUUUCAUAGUCAAUGAAUAGAGUAAUUUAUUGACGCUCCCUAUGUGUAAAUCAAGCAGUCAGGAGCAAAUGGGUGUUCCUUGGUUGUCUGCCAAAACUGAGAAAGCACGGUAGGACUCGCUGAUGGUAGGGGAGACCGGGGAUAGUUGUAACAGGGUGAGUUGUAACGCCACCAAUUCCACCAAUCAGGGAAGAUAUGAGCCAUGUGACAGUUUCAGUCUCCUCCUCCUUCCUUUACGAACGCUCAUGGAAAUGUUCCACUAGUUGGCGCCAUUUUUCCAGGAGUUAGGAGAGAAAUCCAAAUUUUAAGGCCUACCAAUCAGAGGCCGAUUGGGAGAGCCCACUGGGAUAGACUUACCCCCGGCUGGUGAUCGGUUGAAGCUCUGGAACCGUAACGCCUUCUUACCAGGGCGUACAGCAAGGAACGCCUCUACCAGCUUCACAGCCUGCUGCCCAGUGGUCGGAUAAUGCUCCUACACCCACGCACGCACAUCAGGAGCCAGGGAACGCAGGCCUGACGCUCUUGGCUCUGGAGAGUCUUCUGAAGGAGGCUGUAGAGGGAUACCAUGUUCAUCGUCCCGGUGUCCUCUGCGGCAUCAUCAGCCACUGGAACACCUCCCUGGGCUCCAUCCGCUUCCUCAUCUUCUUCCUCCUCUGGCCGCUGCAUACCCCGGUUAGAUGUCGGAUCGACCUCCCCUGGCGUAUCUGAGCCCGUCUUCCUGGACUUCUCUUUGUGCUCUUGGAGGGCGCCACCAACUUUGAGAAAGAGGUAUUGAACCCCGAACUCACAUGUGGGACGGGACACACCCAAGGAGUGAACUUUUUGAAAGCAGGAGGAGGCUCAGAGAGUUUAAGGAAAAUGCUGUCGGUUUAUUUAAACUUCCAAAAACGUUGAAAA